AACGAACGCUGGCGGCGUGCCUAACACAUGCAAGUCGAGCGAGUGAAUCUCCUUCGGGAGUGAAGCUAGCGGCGGACGGGUGAGUAACACGUGGGCAACCUGCCUCAUAGAGGGGAAUAGCCUUUCGAAAGGAAGAUUAAUACCGCAUAAGAUUGUAGCUUCGCAUGAAGUAGCAAUUAAAGGAGCAAUCCGCUAUGAGAUGGGCCCGCGGCGCAUUAGCUAGUUGGUGAGGUAACGGCUCACCAAGGCGACGAUGCGUAGCCGACCUGAGAGGGUGAUCGGCCACAUUGGGACUGAGACACGGCCCAGACUCCUACGGGAGGCAGCAGUGGGGAAUAUUGCACAGUGGGGGAAACCUUGAUGCAGCAACGCCGCGCGAGUGAUGACGGCCUUCGGGUUGUAAAGCUCUGUCUUCAGGGACGAUAAUGACGGUACCUGAGGAGGAAGCCACGGCUAACUACGUGCCAGCCGCCGCAGUAA
rnacentral:rRNA from 1 species